GAUGACCUCCUCCUCUGCAGCCCAUCCUAUGAAGCAUCCCAUAAAGACCUCCUCUUAUUACUACAACAUCUAGACUCCAAGAGGUGGACAUCAAGGUUGCUGCAAGUAACAGAUAAGUACAUCUUCCCAGGAUUAAGUACCCAUUAUGACUUCAGGCCAAAGUCUUUUGUGGGAGGAAAAGGAUGGAUUGAGUGAGUUCCACUACAAGAUAUCCAAG
rnacentral:lncRNA from 1 species